AUUGAACGCUGGCGGCAGGCCUAACACAUGCAAGUCGAACGAGUGGCGGACGGGUGAGUAAUGUCUGGGACACUGCCUGAUGGUGGGGGAUAACUACUGGACACGGUAGCUAAUACCGCCUACCCUCAGAUGUGCCCAGAUGGGAUUAGCUAGUUGGUUGGGUAACGGCUCACCAAGGCGACGAUCCCUAGCUGGUCUGAUAGGAUGACAAGCCACAACGGAAAUGAGAUAAGGGCCAGACGCCGACGGGAGGCAGGAAUGGGGAAAAGUGGACAAGGGGAUCAAGCCUGAUGCAGCCAUGCCGAGUGGAGGAAGAAGGGCAUCGGGUGGGAAAGGAAAUUUAGCGGGGAGGAGGUACCAGCAGAAGAAGCACCGGCUAACUCCGUGCCAGCAGCCGCGGUAAUAC
rnacentral:rRNA from 1 species